rnacentral:rRNA from 1 species
UACGGAGGGGGCUAGCGUUGUUCGGAAUUACUGGGCGUAAAGCGCACGUAGGCGGCUUUGUAAGUUAGAGGUGAAAGCCCGGGGCUCAACUCCGGAAUUGCCUUUAAGACUGCAUCGCUAGAAUUGUGGAGAGGUAAGUGGAAUUCCGAGUGUAGAGGUGAAAUUCGUAGAUAUCAGGAGGAACACCGAUUGCGAAGGCAGCUCGCUGGGACGUAACUGACGCUGAGACGCGAAAGCGUGGGGAGCAAACAGG